rnacentral:piRNA from 1 species
UAGGAGGACUAUAAUGUAUGCACUA